GCAGGUUCACCGAGUUCACCCUCGGGUUCACCCUCACCGAGAGGGUGAGCGGGGCAGCGACGGGGCAGCUGCGUCGGCCAGGGCCUAGCAUUGGGCCACGGGAGACAGAGCUGCCGCCAGCACCUCAUCCACAGCUCCGCUUCCUACCGGUCCCUCCAACAGCUCCCUCCGUGGCCAGACACUGCGCUGGCCCCCAGGGACACAGGCAAACAGGAUGACUGGCCCUGCCUUCACGGUUCCCCCGUUCUUGGGGGGGACAGGCCUCUGAUGGGAAUGGCACCAACGCAUCAGCGCAGUGACGGUGACGGUAACAGCCACAAAAGAGUGAAUUGAAGCGCAGCCUGAGAGUGAGGCAGCCAGCCUUUCGUGCAGAGGGGAGGGCCUUUGGUCUCCCGCUCGGGCGGGGCGUCUGUCGGGAAGAGCAUCUCCCGCUGAGAAGGGGACUGGCUGGACCCAGGAGGCGUGUGUGAGAUUGUUAUUGCUGUCCCACGGCGGUUGCAGAAGUCUUGUUGGUCGUGUUCCACCCUCUGGGCGGUGUUUGGUUCCGUCCAGAUCCACCGUAUCCUGGACGAUGAGAGGCGGGGCCACAUGCUGCCACCUCUUCUGGUUCUCUCCACUCCACGAGGCAGCUUACAGUUCUGUGCCACGUGCUCCACUGCAGCGUCUCUGCAGCCGGGGGACUCCCGGCAGCUCACGCCGGUGUCCCCUGCGGAGGGCUUUCUGCUGGAGUUCGCUGUCCAGGCGCCCACAGGCCGGCCUGCACCUGCGCCCCACCCCCGCCUGGCCGGCGUCCUGUUUGCGUUUGACUGCAGUACCUGUGCGGGGCGGGAGAGUGUGUUUUGACUACCACAGUUCUGAGGCCUUUGUAAGGCCGGAGCUGGGUUACUCACCGUCAGGUUGGGACUUAGAUGACUUCCAUGUUCCUCUCUCCUGCUGCAAUCAACUCGGCCGAGAGCCCAGUGAGAGGAGAGGGGCCGGGCGGUGGGGGGGGCACUGUGCUCCCGUCUCCACGUUCAAGUGAAGGCAGUUCCCAGCGAGGAUCCCACCGCUGACGACGGUCGAGAGCUCGGAGGACUGCGGGCCAGGCAGCUGGGGGCGUCGUGGGAGCCCACGUGGCGCGGGGCAGCGCAGACCUGGGGGACCAUGGGCAUUGGAGCUAGGCCAGGGUGCUCAGACUUGCCUCCAGUUCUCAGACUUCCUGUUCUGAUGAAAAACUUAACAUUUUUGCCUUUAAAUAUAAAAGUACUCUACAUAGAGUUGAAAAUUCAAGCCAUGGAAAAGGUACAAGGUGAAAGUAAAAUCCCUUCCCUCAUCCAUCCUAGCCUUGCUACACAGAGGUGGCCUCUCCCGUUCCUUUGAGUCUCUAUGGGAAUUUCUGUGCACGUACAAAACUUGGCACUGUCGUAGCGCAGGCAGGACCGUAACUGGUGGUUCAGUUUGCGCAUCCGACCUCACGAGCCCCUGCGAUCGCGACGUGCACCCAGCACAAGGGGCACUGCGUGAGGCUGAGGGGACGCGUGUCCCCCGGCCGCACCUUCAACAGGGCGUCAGGGUAGGAGGAUGCGAGCCUGGGAGGGGGGAGGCGCGGAGCCGCCGCAGGUGUUUCUUUUACUGGACGCGGCUCAUGGCCGCGUUCAGGUUUUGCUUUUCACCUUUGAAUCUGUGAGAAGAUAAG